rnacentral:rRNA from 1 species
CCUACGGGAGGCAGCAGUGGGGAAUAUUGGACAAUGGGGGAAACCCUGACCCAGCGACGCCGCGUGCGUGAAGAAGUAUUUCGGUACGUAAAGCUCUAUCAGCAGUAAAGAAAAUGACGGUACCUGACUAAGAAGCCCCGGCUAACUACGGGCCAGCAGCCGCGGUAAGACGUAGGGGGCAAGCGUUAUCCUGAUUUACUGGGUGUAAAGGGCACGUUGACGGCAGCGCAAGUCUGGAGGGAAAUGCCGGGUCCCAACCCCGGAACUGCGCUGGAAACUGUGAAGCUGGAGUGCAGGAGAGGUAAGCGGAAUUCCGGGUGUAGCGGUGAAAGGCGUAGAGAGCAGGAGGAACACCGGGGGCGAAGGCGGCUUACUGGACUGUAACUGACGUUGAGGCUCGAAGGCGUGGGGAGCAAACAGGAUUAGAUACCCCGGUAGUC